rnacentral:lncRNA from 10 species
GGAAAAUGGAGUGCGUUGGCGCUGCGGAGGAGUCACUGCGGUCUGGUCGGACCUGGAGGCAGCGGGUUCUGCUGCUGCGAAGAUUCCCAACGGCCGGUUGGGGAGGGGCUGCACAAUCCUGGACCUCGCGGGAGUACAGGACCCGCAAAGGCAGGGGAGUCGGAUCAUGUGCCAAGAGCAUCCCGGGGUCCCGGCUGCUGGCUUGGCUGCCCUGGUCAUCGCUGCGGUUAUGUGCCGUUGCUACCGCAGAGCAAGCGGCCCCGGUUCUUGAACCACACCUGCACUUGAUGGUCCUGCAAGUUGAGUCUGACAGCCAGGGCCCCCGCUCCUUGUGGGCUGUUACCUGCUCUUUCCAGCCUGUCUCCAGCUCCGGCGGCUUUCCCUUACUGUAGACUGCACUUCCUGCCGCCGCCUCCUGGGAGAGCGUGGGAUGGUGGGGGAUAACUAGGUUCUGGCAUCCUCACUCCUCCUGCCCACAAGCGAUGGGAUUUAAAUCGCACUGUCCAUGCUGUGCUCAUCGAGGCCCACCCUGCUUUUACUAGGACCCUCCCUGCAGUCCCCACUCCCUCCUUCCCACGAGUCUUGCAGUCAUGGAUUAAUCCCUUCAUUAUUGACCAGCUGCUGCAGGCAGGCCCUGUGUCGUCCUGUAUCACUUUAACGUGACCUCAUUAGUCUUUGAUUUCUCCUUCACUUUCUGGUACAAUAAGAGACUUGUAUCCAGUCUCCUUUUGUACAUUUUUUGCCCUAGACUUAGAAUCAGCCAAUUUCAUUGGUAAAUGUUAUCUAGAGAGUUCAGCCGUGGAAGUGUGCUCAUUGUUACUGGGUUUUCAUUGCUUCUGGGUCUUUUCAGUGGACAGAACUAGAAAAUAUGUAUUUUUUAAAGAGUAAAACACAAUGUGAGUUCAUACUGCAAUUUCCAAUUCACUUUUAAGAUUACAAGAUUUUUACUUAAACUUCCUUGAUUUUAUGCUAUGUCAUUUUUAUACUGAAAAUUAUGGUUCCUAAUGAUGGAAACAUAGUAAUUUAAUAAAAAUGUCAAUACUAAUAUAUGGCUACUGAAUGCCAUUUAUGAUUUCUUUCCUUUUUUCUUUUCCUUUUUUUUAUUGUCCAUAGCAUAUCUCUCACUUGGGAUGUAUAGUCAAAAUGCUGCGUUUUAAAGCCACUUUAAGUAAUUGUUUGCUUUAUGUGGUUAUGCCACACACUUUAUAUGCAGGAAGACUCAUUCAUUUCAGUUUACUUUAAUUUUUAAAAAUCACAUAAAACACUUAUCGUCCUCCCAAACUCUCUAUUUAUCCAGUUACAGUCACAGAAAUCUUGCUUCUGUAACUUCCCGUUCACCCUGUUUCUUUUUCUUCCCAAUAGAUAACCAUUAAAACAGUUUGGUUUUGGGUUUAUCUGCCCAUGGUUUCUUUUGAUAAUAUCAAUUAAUAUCUAUCUAUGCACUGUGAACUGAAUUGUAUUUCCCCAAAAUUGAUAUGUUGAGGUGCUAAGCCCCAGUGUGAUGGUAUUAGGAGGUGGGGCCUUCAGGAGGUGAUUGGGGUUAGAUGAGGUCAUAAGGGUGGGGCCCUCAUGUUGGGAUUAGUGUCCUUAUAAGAAGGGACACCAGAGAGCCUGCUUGUUCUCUCUCUUCACCAUGCGAGGGCACAGUGAGCUGUCUGCAAGCCAGGGAGAGAGCCCUCAUCCAGGAACAGAAUCCACUGGCAGCUUGAUCUUGGACUUUCAGCUUCCUGGAGUGUGAGAAAUAAAUUCUUGUUGUUUAGGUUACCCAGUGUAUGGUGUUUUGUUGUGGUAGUCCCAGCUGACUAAUGCUCUACUAUCUAGCUACCUCUCUGUCAUCUACUUCCCCAUCACUUACCUAAAAAUUACCAAUGAUAAAUAUUACUGUUUGCUUCUUUCCUUUGCUUAUUUAUUUUUCCCCAUAUCAGUAUAUAGAGACACUUCUCAUUCCUAAUUACAGCUGCUCCAUAUUCCAUUGUGUGGAUGAAGGAUAGUUUAUUUAAUCAGUCAGUCCUGUGUACUGUUUUAAACCUUCAUUGAGACUGUUUUUCUUACCAUUUCAGUCAUUUAAAUAAUAUUUGAAAAUGAAAAACUCAAGUAAAUAAUAAAAAAUCCUCCCAC